rnacentral:rRNA from 1 species
GACGAACCGUGCAAACGUUGUUCGGAAUCACUGGGCUUAAAGGGCGCGUAGGCGGCCGGCCAAGUCGGGGGUGAAAGCCUGUGGCUCAACCACAGAAUGGCCCUCGAUACUGGCUGGCUCGAGACCGGAAGAGGUUGGUGGAAUUGCGAGUGUAGAGGUGAAAUUCGUAGAUAUUCGCAAGAACACCGGUGGCGAAGGCGGCCAACUGGUCCGGAUCUGACGCUGAGGCGCGAAAGCGUGGGUAGCAAACAGG